GACGAACGCUGGCGGCGUGCUUAACACAUGCAAGUCGAACGAUGAACCCGGAGCUUGCUCCGGUGGAUUAGUGGCGAACGGGUGAGUAACACGUGAGUAACCUGCCCUUGACUCUGGGAUAACUGCGGGAAACUGUAGCUAAUACCGGAUACGACCCUCGGCGGCAUCGCCAGGGGGUGGAAAGAAUUUCGGUCAAGGAUGGACUCGCGGCCUAUCAGCUAGUUGGUGAGGUAACGGCUCACCAAGGCGACGACGGGUAGCCGGCCUGAGAGGGUGACCGGCCACACUGGGACUGAGACACGGCCCAGACUCCUACGGGAGGCAGCAGUGGGGAAUAUUGCACAAUGGGCGAAAGCCUGAUUCAGCAACGCCGCGUGAGGGAUGAAGGCCUUCGGGUUGUAAACCUCUUUUAGUAGGGAAGAAGCGAAAGUGACGGUACCUGCAGAAAAAGCACCGGCUAACUACGUGCCAGCCGCCGCAGUAA
rnacentral:rRNA from 1 species